UACGGAGGGUGAAAGCGUUAUCCGGAUUCACUGGGUUUAAAGGGUGCGUAGGUGGGCAGGUAAGUCAGUGGUGAAAUCUCCGGGCUUAACCCGGAAACUGCCAUUGAUACUAUCUGUCUUGAAUACCGUGGAGGUGAGCGGAAUAUGUCAUGUAGCGGUGAAAUGCUUAGAUAUGACAUAGAACACCAAUUGCGAAGGCAGCUCACUACACAAUUAUUGACUCUGAGGCACGAAAGCGUGGGGAUCAAACAGG
rnacentral:rRNA from 1 species